GAAGCUGUGUGUUCAAUAAAUGGUGGCAAGCUCCGGGAGACAGCGUCUCAGCCUGGAAUGUGGCCUAUCUGAGAAGCGGAGAAAUGAUUGGGUAUAUCAUCCAGGAACAAAGAGUCGCGUUAGGCUGCAUGUUGGACAGGAAGACACAUCCAAAGAAGGAAGGAAACAACAAGCAGAGGCAUUGUCAUUCACCACAGCUCCAAGCACCACCCUGAGCACAGAUCUCCAAGGAAAGGAAGAUGAACAGACACAUCUACGACUCUAAAGAGUGGAAAACAGACCAA
rnacentral:lncRNA from 1 species